rnacentral:sRNA from 1 species
AAUAACCUUCUCUUUUAAGUGGAAUUUAGCAAUAUGAAUAUUGUUUUUCAGCUGUGAGUACCAGAGUGCCCACUGGUUCCAACAGUUCUUCUCAGACCACAGAGUGUGUUACACCUGAAUCCUGUUCGCAGACUGCAAGCAAUGUGGCUUCCCAAUCGAUGCCUCCUGUGUAUCCUUCAGUUGACAUUGAUGCACAUACUGAGAGCAAUCAUGACACAGCAUUAACACUAGCUUGUGCAGGUGGUCAUGAAGAACUUGUAUCUGUGCUCAUUGCACGGGAUGCCAAAAUUGAACACAGAGACAAAAAAGGUUUCACACCACUAAUCCUGGCAGCAACAGCAGGGCAUGUUGGAGUUGUUGAAAUCCUUUUGGAUAAAGGUGGAGAUAUAGAAGCACAGUCUGAACGAACUAAGGAUACUCCGCUUUCAUUGGCAUGUUCUGGUGGACGUCAGGAGGUGGUAGACUUGCUGCUGGCUCGAGGUGCAAAUAAAGAACAUAGGAACGUAUCUGAUUAUACACCACUGAGUCUAGCUGCGUCUGGAGGAUAUGUUAAUAUCAUUAAGAUUCUGCUUAAUGCUGGGGCAGAAAUUAAUUCAAGACUGGUCUUACCCCCUUGAUGGAAGCAGCUUCU